CGAAGUGCAUGUAUUUCUACGCAGACGCCUGGCGAAGGUUGACGAAGAGUAGCGAGGGCGAUCGUUAAUAGUAUUGUCUUAGUCUAAGAUAGCAGUACAGUAUUUCACUUGGCGGCAGAAGGAGCGGAAGGAGAAUCUGCCUCUAACAGGUUGUCCAGUUGGAGAUUUUGAGUUUUCCAACAUGGCGGCAGACAAGUAUAAUUAUAAUAACAAUAAUAAUAUUAUACAAUGUAUUCGCGUGAAGAAGAGGCUGGACUUUCUUGGGCACUGAAAGAAGGACUAUAGCAGAGCUGCCGUGCAAUUAUAAGUUCAACAUCUGAGCCGGUUCUGCCCCCUACGACACUGACAUGGCUUCUCACAGUCAGUUUGUCAGUGACUGUUGCUGGAACAAGUCGUUUUUCUGUUCUCUUUCCUCUGCUUUUAUUACCGGUUUGACCUUUUUCAUCACACUUGCAUACUUCACGAUUGUUUUGUUCCCCAGCUUUUCACUCAAAUCUGACAUACACACACCCACAUGUAUGCGUGUGUCUGCCCGUCUGUUGAAUGUGAUUUGUUUUGGGCAGCCCAUCGUCCGAGUCAUUCCUUUGCUGGCGAAGAACGCGGUGAUGAUGACGAAAAUGAUGAUAAUAUGGAUAUCGGAGAGCCGGAGGAAGCUGCACCAGGUACAGCUGGUUGGAGUCAAGUGGAUCCGCGAGAAAAAAGAAGGACAAUAUUGAAGUCCAGCUUGAAGUAAGUAACUGAGUUUAGAAGACCACAGCUGUUUUCCACUGAGUUGUGUUGGCCUAC